AGGACGAACGCUGGCGGCGUGCUUAACACAUGCAAGUCGAGCGGAAAGGCCCUUCGGGGUACUCGAGCGGCGAACGGGUGAGUAACACGUGAGCAACCUGCCCCUGGCUCUGGGAUAGCCUCCGGAAACGGGGAUUAAUACCGGAUAUUCACUGUCUCCUGCAUGGGGGGUGGUGGAAAGUUUUUCGGCUAGGGUGGGGCUCGCGGCCUAUCAGCUUGUUGGGGGGGUGACGGCCCACCAAGGCGACGACGGGUAGCCGGCCUGAGAGGGCGACCGGCCACGACUGGGACUGAGACACGGCCCAGACUCCUACGGGAGGCAGCAGUGGGGAAUAUUGCGCAAUGGGGCGAAGCCUGACGCAGCGACGCCGCGUGCGGGAUGAAGGCCUUCGGGUUGUAAACCGCUUUCACCAGGGACGAAGCGGAAGUGACGGUACCUGGGGAAGAAGCGCCGGCUAACUACGUGCCAGCAGCCGC
rnacentral:rRNA from 1 species